AUUGAACGCUGGCGGAAUGCUUUACACAUGCAAGUCGAACGGCAGCACGGGGGCGAACCCUCGGUGGCGAGUGGCGAACGGGUGAGUAAUACAUCGGAACGUGCCCACGUCGUGGGGAGUAACGUAGCGAAAGCUACGCUAAUACCGCAUACGAACUCUGGUUGAAAGCGGGGACCCGUAGGCCUCGCGCGAUUGGAGCGGCCGAUGGCAGAUUAGGUAGUUGGUGGGGUAAAGGCUCACCAAGCCGACGAUCUGUAGCUGGUCUGAGAGGACGACCAGCCACACUGGGACUGAGACACGGCCCAGACUCCUACGGGAGGCAGCAGUGGGGUAAUUUUGGACAAUGGGCGCAAGCCUGAUCCAGCC
rnacentral:rRNA from 1 species